rnacentral:rRNA from 1 species
CAGUAGCCGCGGUAAUGCGUAGGGUGCAAGCGUUAAUCGGAAUUACUGGGCGUAAAGCGUGCGCAGGCGGUUAUAUAAGUCAGAUGUGAAAUCCCCGGGCUCAACCUGGGAACUGCAUUUGAGACUGUAUGGCUAGAGUGUGUCAGAGGGGGGUAGAAUUCCACGUGUAGCAGUGAAAUGCGUAGAUAUGUGGAGGAAUACCGAUGGCGAAGGCAGCCCCCUGGGCCAAUACUGACGCUCAUGCACGAAAGCGUGGGGAGCAAACAGGAUUAGAUACCCCAGUAGUCCCUGUCUCUUAUAC